rnacentral:rRNA from 1 species
AGUCGAGCGAUGGAUUAGAGCUUGCUCUUAUGAAGUUAGCGGCGGACGGGUGAGUAACACGUGGGUAACCUGCCCAUAAGACUGGGAUAACUCCGGGAAACCGGGGCUAAUACCGGAUAACAUUUUGAACCGCAUGGUUCGAAAUUGAAAGGCGGCUUCGGCUGUCACUUAUGGAUGGACCCGCGUCGCAUUAGCUAGUUGGUGAGGUAACGGCUCACCAAGGCAACGAUGCGAUAGCCGACCUGAGAGGGUGAUCGGCCACACUGGGACUGAGACACGGCCCAAACUCCUACGGGAGGCAGCAGUAGGGAAUCUUCCGCAAUGGACGAAAGUCUGACGGAGCAACGCCGCGUGAGAUGAUGAAGGCUUUCGGGUCGUAAAACUCUGUUGUUAGGGAAGAACAAGUGCUAGUUGAAUAAGCUGGCACCUUGACGGUACCUAACCAGAAAGCCACGGCUAACUACGUGCCAGCAGCCGCGGUAAUACGUAGGUGGCAAGCGUUAUCCGGAAUUAUUGGGCGUAAAGCGCGCGCAGGUGGUUUCUUAAGUCUGAUGUGAAAGCCCACGGCUCAACCGUGGAGGGUCAUUGGAAACUGGGAGACUUGAGUGCAGAAGAGGAAAGUGGAAUUCCAUGUGUAGCGGUGAAAUGCGUAGAGAUAUGGAGGAACACCAGUGGCGAAGGCGACUUUCUGGUCUGUAACUGACACUGAGGCGCGAAAGCGUGGGGAGCAAACAGGAUUAGAUACCCUGGUAGUCCACGCCGUAAACGAUGAGUGCUAAGUGUUAGAGGGUUUCCGCCCUUUAAUGCUGAAGUUAACGCAUUAAGCACUCCGCCUGGGGAGUACGGCCGCCAGGCUUAAACUCAAAGGAAUUGACGGGG